AUUGAACGCUGGCGGCAGGCCUAACACAUGCAAGUCGAGCGAGCGGCGGACGGGUGAGUAAUGUCUGGGGACUGCCCGAUAGAGGGGGAUAACUACUGGAAACGGUGGCUAAUACCGCAUACUAUCGGAUUACCCAGAUUGGAUUAGAUAGUAGGUGGGGUAAAGGCUCACCUAGGCGACGAUCUCUAGCUGGUCUGAGAGGAUGAUCAGCCAGACUGGGCCGUAGACACGGCCCAGAAUCCUACGGAGGCAGCAGUGGGGACUAUUGCACAAUGGGCGCAAGCCUGAUGCAGCCAUGCCGCGUGUAUGAAGAAGGCCUUAGGUUUGUAAAGUACUUUCUGCGGGGAAGCGUGACCCGCAGAAGAAGCACCGGCUAACUCCGUGCCAGCAGCCGCGGUAAUUC
rnacentral:rRNA from 1 species